rnacentral:rRNA from 1 species
CGGGAAGAGCUCAAAUUUGAAAUCUAGUAGCCUUCGGCUGCUCGAGUUGUAAUCUAUAGAAGUGUUUUCCGUGCUGGCUCAUGUACAAGUCCCUUGGAACAGGGCGUCAUAGAGGGUGAGAAUCCCGUACUUGACAUGAAUCACCAGUGCUCUGUGAUACACUUUCAAAGAGUCGAGUUGUUUGGGAAUGCAGCUCAAAAUGGGUGGUAAAUUCCAUCUAAAGCUAAAUAUUGGCGAGAGACCGAUAGCGAACAAGUACCGUGAGGGAAAGAUGAAAAGCACUUUGGAAAGAGAGUUAAACAGUAUGUGAAAUUGUUAAAAGGGAAACGAUUGAAGUCAAUCAUGUCCUUGGGUCUUACCACCCUUGGAUGGGGUCAACAUCAGUUUUGAUCGGUGGAUAAGGAUAGGAGGAAGGUAGCACUCUCGGGUGAACUUAUAGCC